AACAUACCUCAUAGUACGGAAUAACUGCGGGAAACUGUAGCUAAUACCGUAUAUUCCAGUAAUGGGAAAGAUUUAUCGCUAUGAGAUUGGCCCGCGCAAGAUUAGCUUGUUGGUGAGGUAAUGGCUCACCAAGGCUCCGAUCUUUAGCUGGUUUGAGAGGACGAUCAGCCACACUGGGACUGAGACACGGCCCAGACUCCUACGGGAGGCAGCAGUAGGGAAUAUUGGACAAUGGGGGAAACCCUGAUCCAGCAAUGCAGCGUGAGUGACGAAGGCCUUAGGGUUGUAAAACUCUUUCAUCGGU
rnacentral:rRNA from 1 species